rnacentral:rRNA from 1 species
GACGAACGCUGGCGGCGUGCUUAACACAUGCAAGUCGAACGAUGAAGCCGGAGCUUGCUCUGGUGAAUUAGUGGCGAACGGGUGAGUAACACGUGAGUAACCUGCCCUUGACUCUGGGAUAACUGCGGGAAACUGUAGCUAAUACCGGAUACGACCCUCGGAGGCAUCUCCUGGGGGUGGAAAGAAUUUCGGUCAAGGAUGGACUCGCGGCCUAUCAGCUAGUUGGGGAGGUAAAGGCUCACCAAGGCGACGCCGGGUAGCCGGCCUGAGAGGGUGACAGGCCACACCGGGACUGAGACACGGCCCAGACUCCUACGGGAGGCAGCAGUGGGGAAUAUUGCACAAUGGGCGCAAGCCUGAUGCAGCAACGCCGCGUGAGGGAUGACGGCCUUCGGGUUGUAAACCUCUUUUAGCAGGGAAGAAGCGAAAGUGACGGUACCUGCAGAAAAAGCACCGGCUAACUACGUGCCAGCAGCCGCAGUAA